UGUCGCCCAGGCUGGAGUAUGGUGGUUUAAUCUCAGCUCACUUGCAACCUUGACUUCCUGGGCUCAAGCAAUCUUUCCACCUCAGCCUCCUGAGUAGCUGGGACUACAGGCACAUACCACCACACUCAGCUAAUUUUUGUAUGUGUAUAUUAUUUGGUAGAGAUGGGGUUUCGCCAUGUUGCCCAGGUUGUCAAAUUUCAUAGUGAGCUCUGCACAUUCACAUCUGUCCUUGUAACAAUGAGGCUGCUUCCUGCCUGAAUAAAAGACUUCAGAGAGCUAAAGUGACCCUCCUGGGCAACUGCACGCUACACUGCUGAGAGGCGCGGUGUGAAGGCUGAGUCUCCAACCCCAGACCUGGGUUCAAAUCCCAGCUCUACUACUCACCAGCUGUGGACCGUAGCAAGCUCCUUCCCUCCUCUCACCUCGGCAGGGAGGUUGGAGAACGAGGUGCCCGAGGAUGUUUGAGGAUUAAUUGAAACGGCACAGGUGGUCAGAGCCAUAGCAAAGCCUGAGGCAAAAGGAAAACUGCGUGCCCCAUAUGUGUUUAUCAAAAUAGCCUCUCAUAUUUUGAACCAGGUGGAAAAAGUUAACAAACGCACUACACUCAAGAAACAACGACUGUAUCUAAAAUCUGGUUGCCAAUCUGUUUGCUUUCUACUGUCAGCCGUCACAAACGUAUGUGGGCCUGGAAACUGCAGGCUGAUUGGAAAUGACUGCUCCUGUUGCACAGUAGUGCAGGAUCAUAAAACAGACAACAGCCUGACUUCACUGAAGAUGUGGCGGCCGGGCGCGGUGGCUCAUGUCUGUAAUCCCAGCACUCUGGGAGGCCGACGCAUGCGGAUCACCUGAGGUCAGGAGUUCGAGAUCGACCUGGCCAAUGUGGGGAAGCCCCAUCUCUGCUAAAAAUACAAAAAUUAGCCAGGAGUGGUGGCGUAAGCCUGUAAUCCCAGCUACUUGGGAGGCUUAGGCACGAGAAUCACUUGAACCUGGGAGGCAGAGGUUGCAGUGAGCCAAGAUUGUGCCACUGCACUCCAGCCUGGGCGACAAAGUGAAACUCUGUCUCAAAAAAAAAAAAAAGUGGAUAUUUUGUUCAUCAUGGCUUUUCUUUGCAUUAAUUUUUAUUUUUUAAAAAAUACUGCAUUAAAAUAGUACUUAUCUUGUCACAUGAGCCCAAAGUUCCACUCUUAGUUAUAUAUACACCUGAGAGAAACAACAAUAUAUUUCCACACAGAGACCUGCACACAAAUGUUCAUGGCAGUAUUGGUCAUAAUAGCUAAGAAGUGGAGAUGGCUCCACUUGUCCAUCACUUGUGGAUACACAGGCAAAAUGUGGUGCAUGCACACCAUGGAAAAGUCUUUGGGAAUAAAAAGGAACAAGCUACUCAUACAUGCUGUGAUAUUGAUAUUUGUUCAUUUUUUUGAGACCGGGUUAUGAGACUGGCUAUUUUUUUUUUCCUUUUUGUAUUUUUGGUAGAGACAGGGUUUUGCCGUGUUGCCCAGGCUGGUCUCGAAGUCCUAGGCUCAAUGAUCCACCUGCCUCAGCCUCCCAAAGCGCUGGAUUAAAGACGUGAGCCACCAUGCCUGGCUGCUGUGAUAUUGAUAGACCGUGAUGAUAUUAUGCUAAGUGAAAGAAGCCAGCCAUGGAAGACCACAUAUUACAAUGCGGCCCCUUGUGACCUGCCUUUCUGGCCACACUCAGUUUCUACAUCUGCAAAAUGGGCCAGCAACACUGGUGCUGAUGACAUCCUGGGAUGCAGAGGACACCCCAAAUGUCCACAGGGCCACGGGUGAGAAACCCUGCUUGAGGGAGUAAUGACUUUUGGCCAAAGGAUGGCCCAGAUGGGGCCCUAGGUCUGAGGACUUCGGGGCCGGCCAUGUGGGUAUGAGGGGGCAGGAAGGGAGGGGGCCCAGGACUGUGGCUUUGUAUCCCCUGGCUAUGGAAGGUCCUUCACCUGCUCUUCUCCCCAUGUUUUCCUUGAGGAAUCUUGACCGACAAUCCCACGUUCCUACUAAUUUCACUCAUCCUUCAAGAUCUGCCUCCUCCAACUCCAAGAAGCCCUCCUGGGCUGCCCCAGGGUUACUGGUGCUUACUCUACUUUCCAUCUUCCAACUUGAGAUGACAUUCUGCCUCCAUCACCCUCCCACAUAACAUCCCACUGGGCUGCACCACGGCCCAUUCCCUGAACUCUGAGUGCACUCUCCCCUCUCCAGGCCUUUGCACACGCAGUUCCCCCCCUCCUGGGACCCCCUCCCUACCUUCCCGUUAUCAACUUCUUGUGCUCUCCCACAUCCUCCAGCACAGCUGGACAGUUCCUGCUCUGGCUCCCAUAUGCCUUGACUGAUUCAGAGCCUGCCCCCUUCUUCACAUCGUGAGUGUGCUGAGGGCAUGGAUGGAGGCUGUGUGAGCCAGAGUGAGUCACUAACCCUCUCUGAGCCUCUCUCGCAUCACUGCCUUUCCAGCCCCCAGCACAGGCUUGGGACGUAGGCUGCUGACAAUGGACUGAACUAUGUCCCAUGUGUGUUCUUACUGGGUGCCACUCUGUCCUGCCAGGGGUAGGGUCAUGGUCAUAGACACUGGGAUGUCCUGUGGGCCUUAGAAAGUGAUGUGCUGGGAAAUGCUUAACAACUGGCUCUCUGAAGGAAAAAAAUCAACCUUGAUUUGUAGCAUUUGCCAAUUUCCAUGAUCUAAAUAUUUCCACAAUUUCCAACGUCAAGCUACCAACAAGAACACAGAGCUGGGAAGAGAUAGAUGCCCACAGCCAGCUCCCACGAGCUGGUGCGAGCUGACUCCAGCACACCAUUGGCUUUAGUUUAUCACGCCCAACCACACUGUGAGGAAAUUGAGGCUCAGAGAUGGGAGAAAUUUGCUCAAAGCCCUGCAGCUGGUCAAUAGCAGAGCUGGGACUAGAAUCUGGGUCUCUGGCUGUUGACGUUGGUGAGAAAGUAUCCACACAGGCAUGAUAGCUCCUCAUGGACCAACACAAGCUUCAAGCAUUGUUUAAACGCACUGGGUCCCAGCCCAACAUUUUGGCAGUUAGGGCUGCCCUCUCCUUCCUGAGCAGCCUGGAACCCCAGGCUCAGGGCUAAGCCCUGAGCACAUCGGAGCCUCAGGAAGUGCCACUGGGAUGUUAGCUGCAAAAUACUUCUCCUGUGAGCUGAACAUCUGUCUUGGGUGGACCAGAGAUCACGCCCAUUUGGCUGUGCAUUCAAAUGCCCUGCUGGCGGCAGCCUCCACUUCCUGGUGAUUUCUGCUUUCUUUUUUGCCAAGUCACAUCUGUUUGCCAUCUGUAGGUAGCUGAUCACAUUUCAAAAAGCUGGCUGGGGUUUUAUGCAUAUUUCAUCCACUGGGAGAUUUUGGAGAAGGAAAGCUCUCUUUAAGAUCAAAAUGAGCUGAAGAGGUGCUCAGCUGGGUCACCCAGACAGUGAAGAUUAGAAAGGCCCUAAUUCCAGCCUGGGCAACAUAGUGAGACUUUGUCUCUACUUAAAAAAAAAAAAAAAUCAGCUGGGUCUGGUGGCAUGCAUCUGUAGUCCCUGCUACUCUGGAGGCUGAGGUAGGAGGACUGCUUGAGCUCAGGAGGUUGAGGCUGCAGUGAGCUAUGAUUGUGCCACUGCACUCCAGCCUGAGUGACAGGGUGAGGAAGCAUUGUCUAAAAGAGGGGCUAGCAAAUUUUUUUCUGUAAAAGGCCAGAAAGUAAAUAUUUUUAGUUUCAGGGGCCACAGGGUCUCUGGCCUAACUAUUCAACUCAGCCCUUAGAACAUAAGCAGCCCUAGAUGCUGAGUAUGGAUAUGGGUUGUGUUCCAAUAAAACUAUUUGCAAAAUCAGGUGGUAGGCCAGAGUUGGCUGGGAGGGCCACAGUUUGCAGACGCUGAUGGAGAGGAAAGGACUGAGCAUCUUAUCAAAACUACCCCCCACCUCACCCCCACCCAGGGCACCCAUUUGUUGACUGGGCUCUUACUGAAAGCCAGUGGCUGAUGCUGCAACACUGGGGCAGCAGGAGGCUCAUGACUGUGCCCUGCCCUGGCCCUCGCUUUCCACCAUGAUUCCCAUUUAGAGCCACUUUUUUCCUCCCAGAAGUCUUCCUUGAAGACCUCCUCAGCUAAGGCCAAUGCCCUUGUAAUGGCUCUCCCCAGUCCUGGCAUUGCAGAAUGGGAAAGUCAAUAUCACACGUUAACUCAGAGAGGCCUUCCCUGACCACCCAGUCCCAGGACAGCAAACUCCUCCAACACUCCUCAGACCCCCUACCCUGCUUUAUCGACCCCAGUUGCACGUUUCACCUUGGAGGAUAUAUUUUGCAUUUCUGUUUACUUGUUAUUGCCUAUCUCCCCUCCUUGAAUGAAAGUUUUACUCGGGCAGGUACCUUAUCUUCUUCACUGUUUAUAUCUGACAUCUCAGCGGUACCUGGUCUAUAGUAGGUGUUUAAUAAAAAUAUUUGCUAAAAGCAUGAAUGAAUAUCAGUUAUCACACUGCAAGAUGCUUGCUUAUUUAAUGCUUGUUUUUAGCUUGAAUUGUGAACAUCCUAAAAACAUGGGCUGGGUCUUCUGGGUUUUGUUCUUAACAUCUGCAUUGUCAAAAAAAGUUUGUUGAACGGUUGAAUGAAUGAAUUUAUUUGAUAAAAACGUAUGACAGCAGGAAGUAGAGGCCAUUUAGAACAGUAGACUUCAAAUCUGUGUUUGCAAUGGAAACCUUUAGUAAUGGGUACCUUAUGCACAGUUCAGCUUCUCUGGUUGACUCAGGGUGGGGCAGCAGAGCUGGCCUGCUCAUCUCCUUUCAACUAUGUCCCUCCACUGUUCCCAUGGCGGCCCCCAGCUAUGUCUGUGGCCCCUAGAGAGUUUCCUGGAAAUAGUUUGAAAACUACUGAUCUAGUCUGAACUGUCCGCUGCACAGAUGAAAGAACUGAAGCCUCGGCAGAGAAAUGCUUGGCUGGAGGUCACUUGUCAAGUCUGUGGCUGUCAUGAGAUUAGAACCCAGCCCCCUCUCUCCCACUGAGCUCCUUGAAGCUACCCUGUUUGGUUGCUUGCACUUUGCACAGAUGCUGGUUAAGUCUCAGUUCUGCUCUGAGCUACACUGUGUCCCUGAGGAAAACACUCCAGCUCCCUGGGUUUCUCUUCAGAGAGCUCAGCCCACAAGCCAGUCAGCUACACAGGCUGUGGGCUCUGAGGUCUGAAGCCAUGAAGUCCCACUCUGGCUUGAAAAGGCAUGAGGUUGGAGGCACUGCAAAACUCAGCCAUGACUUGUGUCUGUCUUUUCUGAGGUCAUCUCUGACCUCAGGAUGCCCUGGGGAGGCAGGCUGGAGAGGCCAGAGGGCCCUGGGUUUCAGCAAAGGACCCGGGUUCAAGUCUCAGGUCAACCACUCACCUGCUCAUCAGGUGUGACCCUAAGCGUGCUACUUAACUUCACUGAGCCUUAGUUUCCUCAGCUGUAAAAUGGGGAUAAUCACAGUGUCCACAUCCCCUGGAGUGGUUGUGAGGAUGACAUGACAAGACAGAUGGAAGGUGAUUAGCAUGGACUAGUAAAUGCUAGACACAAUUAUUAUGAAAGACAGGAGGGG
rnacentral:lncRNA from 1 species